GGGUUAGUAGGUUGGUCAUGCCUCUGGUAUGUACUGGUCUCACUGAUUCCUCCUUCCUGAUGAGCCGUAAUGCCAUUAAUUUGGUGUUGCGGGGAAUUUGGACUGUUACUUUGAAAAAAUUAGAGUGUUUAAAGCAAGCUAACGCUUGAAUACAUUAGCAUGGAAUAAUGAAAUAGGACGUUCGAUCCUAUUUUGUUGGUUUUAAGGACCAAUGUC
rnacentral:rRNA from 1 species